GUAGGGGGCAAGCGUUGUCCGGAUUUAUUGGGCGUAAAGAGCGUGUAGGCGGCCAGGCAGGUCCGUUGUGAAAACUGGAGGCUUAACCUUCAGACGUCGAUGGAAACCGUCUGGCUAGAGUCCGGAAGAGGAGAGUGGAAUUCCUGGUGUAGCGGUGAAAUGCGCAGAUAUCAGGAAGAACACCCGUGGCUAAGGCGGCUCUCUAGUACGGUACUGACGCUGAGACGCGAAAGCGUGGGGAGCGAACAGGAUUAGAUACCCUGGUAGUCCACGCCGUAAACGAUGGGUGCUAGGUGUGGGGGGUGUCGACUCCCUCCGUGCCGAAGCUAACGCAUUAAGCACCCCGCCUGGGGAGUACGGCCGCAAGGCUAAA
rnacentral:rRNA from 1 species